GAUGAACGCUAGCUACAGGCUUAACACAUGCAAGUCGAGGGGCAGCACUAGGUAGCAAUACUGAGGUGGCGACCGGCGCACGGGUGCGUAACGCGUAUCCAACCUUCCCGUUACUCUUGGAUAGCCUUCCGAAAGGGAGAUUAAUACAAGAUGGUAUUCAAAUUCCGCAUGUUAUUUGAAUUAAAGAUUUAUCGGUAACGGAUGGGGAUGCGUGACAUUAGAUAGUAGGCGGGGUAACGGCCCACCUAGUCUACGAUGUCUAGGGGUUCUGAGAGGAAGGUCCCCCACACUGGAACUGAGACACGGUCCAGACUCCUACGGGAGGCAGCAGUGAGGAAUAUUGGUCAAUGGUCGGAAGACUGAACCAGCCAAGUAGCGUGAAGGAUGAAGGUUCUAUGGAUUGUAAACUUCUUUUAUACGGGAAUAAAACCUCCCACGUGUGGGAGCUUGUAUGUACCGUAUGAAUAAGCAUCGGCUAACUCCGUGCCAGCAGCCGCGGU
rnacentral:rRNA from 1 species